UUUUAUUAUUUGAAAUGAACAUGCAGCAAAUAUAAGUUUUCUCUAAAUUAAGUGGAAACUCCAUUUUUUGCAUAUAUUUUCUCAUGUAAUUAGCCAUCAGGUUGGUAAAGGGAAUCUGAUUUUCAGCAGAGGAACAGAGGUUUCUUUAUUUUUGCUUUAUCUAUAGGGGUUUUCCAUAUUUUAUAAAAGCUGUAGGCACAGGUAAAGAUAAGGAAAGAGGAGGGCAGGUAUUGGUGUGCUCACUGAGUAGCUGAUUUAGAGAAAUGGGGGUCCCCUGGGCCUGACUUGCAACCAAAUGACCAAAACACUUUGCCUUUUAUUUAUUUAUCCAGCUACUUAACACUUCUUACUGUUUCUCUUAAAUGAAUUAAUUUACCCUACAAAGCACUCCUCGCAAUAAUCAAUGACUCAUUACACUGAAAGCCCGCAGGAAAUACUAAUUAAAUGAAAAAUGUGCAAGAGGAAUGUGCAACUUUUGUAUUUCUAACGACCCAGAUACUCAGGGCUUUCUUUUUAUCCCAAGUUCUCAUAAGUUACAGGAGAGGUUUUUGCCUUCAGCCACAGGGAGCUGAGGUGGCUUGGAGGGUGGUGAUAUUUCCCAGACAUACCAAAUCCAGUUCAUUUAUCAUCAAUAUCCACAGGAAAUAAUAAUCUGUUUAUACAUCAUAUUUCUCUGAGCUCUGUGAGGUUCUAGUUAUGAAUUCCUUCCAGCUGCUUUUCUCAUUCCCACAGCAGAAUUGCCUGGGAAGGGUUAUCCCUUAUCCAUCACUUACUCCAACAAUUAUUGACUGAUAGCCACUGGUAAUUCCAGGUCUCUGACAAUCUUUGAUAAAGAUUUUGUGUUGUUACUGUGCUCUCAAAUGCCUCCUCACCCAUAAAGGCCUUGAACUCCAGGCUGGGUUGUUGGCACAGCCACCUUUUUGGGAUCUUUGAAUGGGAAGAGCUUAAUGAUAUGGAAGAUGAAGAUUUUAUAAGGAUAGAAAUGCCAAAAAUGGGAGUGGGUUCAAACCUCCUGGAGUAGCUGUGUCCUGCUCCCUUUGCUGAAGGGAUUCUGGAGCACUCAAGGUUUCUUUUAUCCUGGUCAGUGAUUUUUGGAGAAAGUGUGUGAAGCCAAGCUAUGAAAUAAAGCAAUCAGAACAAGGUAGAGAAAAAUCCCCCAAAACCAAGACCAGCACCAAAAAAAAAAAAACCAACAAAACAAUAAGGACAAAAAGAAGAAAACAAAAAACCAAACAGGGGCCCAGCUCCUUUCCUUCAGAUCCUUUACACUGAUGGUUUUGUAGGAUAGAAGCUUUGUUCCCCACCAAAUCACCCCUCAGAUUCUUUCCUCCCCCCAAAUUUGUUUGCAUUUUUUGCAGAUUGGUGUUUCCUUUUCCAUCAGUCUGUACCUGCAUUCAGGUACCGCUGCUCCCAUUUAUUUUAACAGGUGACCCAAUCCCAGUCUGGGGCACUUCCCAUCCUGAAAAAGGUCAAGCCACAAACACCAGAAAUAAUUAUUUUGCUUUUUAAGUAACAUGGAAAAAGAGGGAGAAUAAGAGAGGAACUAAUUCCCUACUCGGUUUUAAGACAGCAAGAAUUUAAGUCAAUUUAGCUCCUUGUGCUAAUUAAUACUCCCAAAGAGCUGUAAAAUGUAACAACAGGGAGGAUGAAUUAUUUAAAGUGGAGGUGACCAAGAGAAAUCUGGAUGAACACGAUAAUGCCUCUACUUUUCAUUUUCAGGCAAUAAAUUGCAUUAAAAAUGGUGGGAAUGUAUUGAAGAUUUUGGUAAAACUUUGUUCUCAGCUGUAGGGAGUUGUGUUUCUGUAGAGAUUUCCUGUGGUGCAGGACAGGGAAGGCAGGGCAGGAAGGGUAAAUUAGGGAGAAAAGAAGAUUUUAAUCCCAAAGAGAUAGAAAUGCCCGGUUUAGCCCCUAACUCUGGAUUUCUAGAGAGAAAACAAAUGGUGGUAGUAGGAGUAGUAAUGCACUGAAUUUAUUUAUUCUGUAAAUCAAGAGCUGGGUAUUUUUCUUGCUCCUUUGUGAAGGAAAAUUAUAGAAAUCUUUUCAGUGCUUCAGGGGAUUGAUACAGGUUACAUUCCUGGCUUUCAGUCUAGUUUCUCCCUCACCAGCCUUUGGAAUUCAGUGGGACUGAUGGAUUACAUCAUUUCAGGAAUUAGGCCCUAAAUUCUGAUGUCUACAAAACAUAAAAGAGCUUACUUGAAUUGUGCAAAUUUUCCCCUCAACCUGCAAUAUAUUCCUUGAAGACAAUAGAAAAAAAAUUCAUAUAAAGUUGUCUCUUUAUUUGGAGGUACUUUAAUAUCAGAGGAGAUUUGCUUCCAGCUAAGAAAACAUUUGUUACAGAACUAAAAAUGUUUGAUAUGCUGCUGUAUUAGAUAAAGUUUGUUAGUUCACAGUGGCACAGUGCUGAUAAUUGAAGAACUCGCAGGAUUUUCAGCAGUAAAAGAUCCCCAGUGAGUGCUGAGCUCAGUGGGAAAAUGUGAUGUAUAAAUCUGCAGUGAGAGCAGAGGAACAGGAGGGGAGCAGCUCUGGGAGCCCCACACCACCACCAAAGGACGUUAAAGAGAAAUAAAAGGGAAGAGAUGAUAUCUUGGGGCAUAAAAGCUGUUUCCAAAGAAUUUUCUUGUUAAAUAUAAUGUUGGACAAGAGCCCACGGAAAUUCUCAACUCACUGGAGACUCCUGCUGUCGCUUGGCAUGGUCUGGUCUAGUGGAGGAAUCAGCCUCUAGCCCUGUCCUGGAAUACCAAAUUCCAUGAGGAGAAGUGGUCACAGGAGAUAAUGAGAGAGAUGGGGAAAGUCCAGGCAAGACAGCCAUGCCCAAAGUUGAUGGAUAAAUUGGUUUUGUGUGAUGGGAUGAGGCAUAUCAGCUUGUGAAGAACUGAUGGCUACGAUGAAGGUUUGUUAUAUCCCAGGUUAGCCAGCCAUGGAUGAUCCCAGAAGGAAUGAUGAAGGUUUGUUAUAUCCCAGGUUAGCCAACCAUGGAUGAUCCCAGAAGGAAUGAUGAAGGUUUGUUAUAUCCUGAGUUAGCCAACCAUGGAUGAUCCCAGAAGGAAUGAUGAAGGUUUGUUAUAUCCCAGGUUAGCCAGCCAUGGAUGAUCCCAGAAGGAAUGAUGAAGGUUUGUUAUAUCCUGAGUUAGCCAACCAUGGAUGAUCCCAGAAGGAAUGAUGAAGGUUUGUUUGUCACUAUAGGACACGAAACAACACAAGCGCACACCGCUGCUCUCAAGGUGAAGAAAAGGGAAGUUUAUUUUCUGACUCCAACAUUUAUAGUUUCCCAAAAGUGACAGUGGAUUGGAGGGUGACAGUGCCACCUCUCCAAUGACACUGGGCAAACCAACAGUCCAUCAAAUUUCUCCUCCUCCAUAAAAGAAUGCAAAACAAUUAGUUAUUUACGGAAAGUGUGUGAGAAAGUUUGCUACAAGAAUGUAAACAUCAGAAGGCUUAGAAAAUCUUAAAAAAUCAGGGCGACAUUUGUAAUAUCCCGAGUUAGCCAACCCUGGAUGAUCUCAGAAGAAAUAAUGAAGGUUUGUUACACCCCAAGUUGGCCAAACCUGGGUGAUUUCAGAAGGAAUUAUGAAGGUUGGUUAUAUCCUGAGUUAGCCAAACCUGGAUGAUUUCAGAAGGAAUGAUGAAGGUGAGCCUGGAAAGAGCCAGAGAGGGAACAGCAAAGCCACCAGAGGAAUGUGACAACAAACUCCAGAGAGCAAAGGCAGUGCCACAGAGUGGGAGGCUCGGGCACCUGUUGUGACAGCUGUGACUAAGCAUACAAUGACCAGAUCAGGGUGAAUAAUGAGACAAUCUGCUCAUUUAAGAGUGGAUAUACAAACCCAGCAGGGACAUGAAACUGUUUUGCUUUGUUUUACUGAUAAUGUGUUAUUGGAGUCAUGUCUCUGGCUGUGUCCUAGAGUGGGUUCAAAACAAUUACUUACAUAACACAGGAUAUAUUUAAGUCAGGCAAAAGCAGGGAGGGAGAAAUGUGUGUAUCUCAAUUUCUGGUUAAGAAGGAAAAUGAAAUUAUGUUUUUCCCAAUAGAUUUAUUGAUUCCCCUUUUUCCAGCACAGGAAUCUCCACCUCAAGGGCUGGAUCCCCCUUGCAAAACUUGAGCUGCAAAGUAAUCAAUGAACAAGACUAAGACCUGUAUCCCCCCCCUUUUCAGCUGCUGGUUCCUACCCUAACAACCAUUAAUUAUUCUAAUAGCAAACUCCUUAAAAAUAACUCAAUCAAUGCAUUAUCCAGAAGUUGCAGCCCAUCUCUGGAUGCCUCCAGCCUGGUCCAUGGUGGCCAAACAAUAUUUGGUGCAAGCCCUGAAGUGCUUUUCUCUUGUAGUGCUCUGCUUUAGGAUGGUCAAGUGUCCUAUGGAUCAACUUUGGGGUUAAUUUUGAGGUGGCAAAUGUGCUGCUUUCACAAAAUUUCUUCGAUAGGUGAAAGAAAAUUGUGUUUGCUGCUCACAGAGCAGAAUAACGAACAGGGAAAACAAAAGGAAAAAUUAAGCUCCCAAAGCCAAGAAACAGCAGAGUCCAGGGCAGCUGCCCAUGCUGCAAACCUGAUUCACAAGUGAUGGCAUUCCAUGAAAUAGUGACCACCCCCGCUUUAAUUUCAAAUUAAAACCAUACUGAGAAACCUGGAAUACAAAGACAAGAUUUGUGGGAUGUAAAUACCUGGUGGGUGCAGCCAACCAGCACAAAAUAUCUUUGGAGGGAGCUCAGUCCCUGCUGGAGUCCCUGUGCCUACAGAUCAUCAUGUACAGGGAGUAAUUACAGCAGGGUUUGUCAACUAAUUUGGUGGAAGGAUGAAUUCUUUUCUAUUAAUCAAUGUAGGGAAGCAUGAAGCACCUAUAAACCAUUCAUCUCACUUUAGCUUCUUGUUUACCUUUAAUUAGAGUUGCUCUGAUUUGAUUGGGGGAAAUGGAGGUACCUUGGAAUAGAGAGGUGUCAGCUGGGGCAUCUUGGACAGCACUUCCUGCUGUGGGAUCCUCAGGGAAAUGAGUUGGCUAGAUUGGAUUUUUAUUUCCAAAAUGUGCACCAAUAAAUUGGUCACAGGGUAAGACCCCUAAAUCAGAGGCAAAUAAAAAGAUACAGUACCAGCGCCUCACGAAUGAGAAGGAAGUUUGCAGCAAUGUGAAUUAAUUCAUUUUUCAUUUACACCUGCUGUGGGUCACCCCUCUUUUCUCAUUUUUCCCAUUCCUUUAUUGUUAUAUUUAUGCACAAGGAGGAUAUUUACUAGGAACAUUUAAUUUCUUUGUCUACAGUUGAAACAGAGUAAAACCAAUGUUUUUAUUAUUAUGAUUUUAUUUUAAUUUUUCCCUUUUAAAAUUGUUUACCUUCUUCCCAGAGUUUCCAGGAGGAUUAUAGGUAAGGCUGUGACAUCUAUACAAAGUUAUGGGAUGUUUUAUAACUGAUGUGUUGUGUGCGAUGCAGAUAAAUGCAACUGCAAGCAUUGGAAGUCCCAGCAGGUCACUCACAUUUCAUUUCAUUUUAGCUUGACUUUACAUCAGUGAUAUUUAAUAUUUUUUUAUAAGAGAACUCUUAAAAAUGCUUUGAUAAAAUGAAAAGUCCUGGUUAAGCCUUGGAGUCCUACACAGCAGUGUGGAAAACUGCAGCUUCACUAAAACCCAUGCAGUAAAUGUGCCAUUCCUUGGUGCAUGCUUAUUAUGGGUAAAUAUUGUUCUCUGGGUAGUGCCUGGAAAUUGUAAUUAAUUUCAAAUACUCCCUCUUUUUGUCCACGUAUGCAGAUUUCAAAUCUGUGCCUGCGCCGGUUUUGACACCGUGCAAUGAAGCAUCCGAGCUCUCAGAUGUCUGGCUCUUCCGAGUUGUGAAAUGAGAAAACAAACAAACCCAGCCAUUCCAGCCCUGUCAAUCUCCUUCUCAGUGGACAGAUGCCCUGGUGCCAGAAAAGCUUCAUCCCCUGAUCCCACACCUCUUGGCAGUGCCAAAAAAAAAAGCCAGAGAUCUACUGGAUGCGAAAGCACGACGGUUCCUCACCCCAGAAAAUGGGAUUUAUGGAAAAAUGGGCCACACUGGAGCUCCUGGGUGAGGCUGUGUGGGGAAAUGUGUGCAGCCUCUUGUUCUGGCAUUCCUGGUCUCCCAGAUCAUCCAUCUGACCUGCUCCUGGAGCAAGGUGCCUCUGGACAGUGAUGGAUUAACUGGAGAGGGUCCAGGUUUCUGGAAUGAGCGGGGCUAAGAAUUUGCCAAGGGCAUCAACAGCAGUUUUCCCAGGCUCCAGCACAAGGAUUAUGUAGUCAAUCCACAAAUGACUCAAAUCUUUGAAGAGAAGGGCAUGGUUAUCAGAGAGGCUUUGACGACAGCAAGGACGGGAGUGCUAUCUGCCUUUUUCCAUCAGAGAUCCCCAUUCCCUCUCAUUAACAUACCCAGGACAUCAGCACAGCCAUCGGCCCGAGGGAAUCGCUUCCAACUUUUAAGGGAAUAUUCACAGAACCUCGCCCCUGCGUUGUCUCAGACAGAUCAAACCAGAUUUGCCUCGUGUAAGGGUUCUCCAGUCCCACUGAAGAUGUGAUGUGAUGUGAAAGCUGCUGCUGCUGUAAGUGGGGAGAGGAGAUGCCUCUACCUGCUCCCUGCCAGUGCCCUGCAAUGAAAAAUGCUUUUGGAGCAACACUGGAAAUAAGCCAUCAAAAUAUCUGAUUAAACCUCUUAGGAAACUCUCACUAAUCACCUUCCCUGCUCUUGAUGGAAUGUAUUUAUGCAUUAUAAAUAUACUUACUAUGUGUGUGUGCUCCAUAAAUCACACCCAGCACUUGUAUGUGAUGUAUAAGCACAUUCUAUAGAACACACACAAAUACAGAUGCCAAGCUCCCACAGAGUUCAUCACUGGAAAGUGUUUGAAGGAUCUGAUCCUUAAUAUUUAAUGAGCAAGAUGCUAUUUCCUUCCUCAGCUUUUAUCUCUGGUUUGGCAUAGUCAUUAAAUUUGUUGUUUCCUUGCAGGAUUAUAUAAUUUAUGACCUAAUUUUAGACUUUUGUGUAACCGCGUUGAGACACUCGUGGCGUAUCCCAAUUUCUCCACACGGAGUGUUCCAGCACCAGCCACCAGCUCCAGCACGAAUUCUGUGAGCUGCCUGUCAGCAAGGAGUCACAGGCAUGAAAGGAAAACAGCCAAACAAUAUUCAGGCAGCAUUAGAAGAUUAGUUUGUGGUGGGUUUUGCCCUGCAAAAAAUAUGAUUUAGCAGCGUUUCCAGAGCUGUCUGCAGUGCUGGCAGGAAUCCCCAGGUACAGGCAGCACCCAGCAAUUCUUAUUGCUGAAAAUAUUUAAUUCUUGUGACUUUCAGGCUGCUCUGGGACAGCAGUGCAGGGAGGGGUGUCUGGAGGUGGGCAAGGAUGACACUCAGGGCUUUAGAGCCACUGCCAGCCCUCACAUCUGGAAUUUCCUCCCAGCACCAGCCCAGCUACUGGGCUGAUUUUUUGCUGCACAAGGUGCUGCUGGAUAACUCCAAAAUGAAUUCUUCUAAAGCUGCAGCCACAGUUUUUUUGGUGCUUUCUGUGUGUCCAGAGUAAUUGAGAGAUGCUGUAAAUAGUGCCAUGAACUUCAGUUAUUCUGUCAAUUUAACUAUAUUGUUGGGACCAGUCUUUCAUCAAAUGUAAUAUAUUGGCUGUUGCAUUAAUUCACUUUGAGAGCACUUUAUCCUGGUGUUCCGUAGGGAAGUGGCUUGUGGCUGAGGAAGGAUUUGAUGUUUCCUUUGUGCCUGCAGUGCUGUUUGGAGGAGUUUUCCUCUUUUCCUAUCUUAUCCUGAAUAUCCAGAAUUGGGGUACUCAGAUUAGCAGCAGGAACAUAAGGGACACCCCUCUAACACAACUUUGUGUGGAGGGUAAGGAAGGAAAAAGAAUCCUCAUGAAAAGGGGACAUUAAUUCUUGGAUUUAAAAAAAAUUGGAGAUUUUGUCUCCUUGGCUUUAAUGGAGCAGUUCCAGGAAAGCAGCAGAGAACAAAGUGUUUUCAGUAUCACAUAAUUAAAGAGUAAAAUCAUAAUUCCAAUUACCACUGCAGGCACUUCUGGCCUUGGGAAACCUAUGCUAAUAUUUAUUAUUAUAUGAUUGACCUCUGAUUUCUUCAUCAUUUACACAGCAACCCUGAUAUUCUUAGUAACAUCCUUUAAAUCAUAGAAGCAGGUGUCAGCAGUGCAUGAUGAAGUCGCAUCCUGCAGAUUUUUUAUUUACUUGGUCUGGUUUUUCCUUGUUAAAUAACAUUGUGAGAUGCAGAAUCUCACCUCCACGGGGCCUCUAGGGGUGUAUAUAGUCAUAGAAUGCAUUUUCUAUAAUCUCAAAAAAUGAGUCAAUCCCAUCAGAGGUACAAACAGUUUUACAAAGUCAGUAUUUCACUCCCAUCACUGCCUGACAUCAUCUUCCUCACAGCACAAGAAAAUAUUUACUCGGCACUUUGACAUGAAUUGUCACAAAGCCUUUGGAAUGGAAACUAAAAAGUGAGAAUUAAAAUGGAAUAACUUGGCUUAAUGAAUUUAGCCUAUUUUCUGUGUGCUGGAUUUAGAUGUCAGAUGAUUUCUUACAAAGUUUGGGAUGGACAUGGGCACGUCCAGUCCCUGAUCUUCAGUGAGGUGCCUACACAUGGAUCACAGAGCUGCCCAGAAUACCCAAAGCUGGAAACUGAUCCUCUUCUCCAUCAUCUGAAUAUUUUCUUUGCAUAAGUGAACAUUUCUCUGGAUGAAUUAAGACACUGCAUUAAUUUUCCAAGUGCAGGUGAGGUGCCAAGGGCUGCCUGGGGCUUUUCACUGCCUUCAGCAGAGUUGAUAAAAUUGUAUUUAUCCACAAAGAGACUGAAUUUUAUUUUUCAGAUUGUUCUGGGGAUGAGUCAAAAAGUUUAAAUUCUCUGUCUCCCAUAUUCACUGCUCAUCCUCCUGCUGCUGUUCACUUCCAGAGAGCACAGCCAGGGGCUUUUCAGCAUCUCCUUGGGAAAUAUUCCCUAUCUGUGGAGCUGGGGAAAGUGGCACCCACCCGGAGAGGGCUGUCCUUCAUCAAACUUGUCCCUCAUCCAUCACUUUUUUACUGAAAUUUGAUUCCUCUGAACUUACAUUGCCUUAAAGGGUUUACCUGGCUCAGCAGGUGACAGGAUUUGGGAUGUUCCAGGCAGAUUUUGCAUCAUUUGGGACAAAUCGUUAAGGUUUGUCAGCUUUAUCCGGUUGUCAGGCAGGUGAGUGCUGUUCCACUCUCCGGACGCGCAUCCCUACAAUCACCCUUUGAUUUCUGGAUAUCAGUGAUGGAGCAGGGUCAGAGCAGCCCCGGAUCCUGCUCCUGGGGGCUGUCAGUGUGCAAUAACCACCAGCAGCCCCUGCAAUGACACAGCCGGGCACCAAACACCUGCAGGGGAGCUCCUCGGGCCAAAUUCCCCCCGGCUCCAAUCAGGAUUUUUCCGGAGCUGGGACCGCUCAGGGCGAUCCCGCUCCUGGCUCAAGAGGCUCUUCUAAUCGACUGCUGAGAGACUUAUUAGCAAUGUAAAAAGGAAUCGCGAGCAAGGAAAGUAUUCUUCCUGGCUGAAAUGCGCUUUGUAAAAUUAGUUUUGCUGACAGGAGUAAUUGGGUUAAACUCCUCCUGGCUGUGGGGGCUAUUUGUUGCCCCUUAUCUUACCCGAGCAAAGGGUACCAAACUCUUUGAACUUUGUAAAUAAUUGUUUCCAAAGUGCUGGAUUUUUUUUUCUCUCUAUAUAAAUUCUGUAGAGAAAAGCUGUUUUCUAAUCCUCUCUCUGCCAAUGCUUUUACAGCCUUUUCCCACUCUUGAUUUCUUUCCCCUCUUUAGAUUUGAAUAUUUCUUAGAUAUUAUAAAAAUCUCUUUUAAGGGGGAGUGCAGAGCUUUUGCUCAGAUUGGGAAAAUCAUUCCUAGAGCUUUAAGAAACUGGAGAGAGAGGAAAAAAAAAUAUCAAACAGAAGAACUUUAUUGUGCACUGUGGCAGAUGUUGGGCUGUGGUGUGAAUGUGUGUCCAGUGCAGGCUCCUGGAUUCAGUCUGGAUUUUUCUCACUCCAGAUUCCUGAAGGGUGAAGGGGUUGGACCUUUCAUUCCUUCUGAGCUGAACCAGAUCCGGGAUUUGCUCCUCCCUCCCCAGCCCCACCUUGACAUUGCUGUGUCCCUUCUGUGCUGAGGAGAUGGGUGUCUUUCUCUUGCAAACACAAUUUUUUCUCAGUUUUAUUUCACUUUUGCAUCCACAGUAAGAAACAUUAAUGCAGAAACAGGACAGAAACUGUCCCAGAGUGUGCACAGAGUGCGCAGUGCCAGAGCCUGCAGGAAAGCCAUAAACCUGCAAAAACCCGGGCCAAUCCAGGGAUGUGGGAAAACUGAAAUGCUGGAAAAGCAAGACAUUGUUUUCUCCAUCAACCUGGAAUGUUGUAUGUGAAUUCUUUUAGUUAUCUGCUAUUUAUUUCUUUACUUAUUUUGGCAAAAGACACAAAUAAUGAGAUAUACCAAAUACAGAUUCAGAAGCCAACCGGGGACAAAUGUUUCACCCAGGCUCCCCACAAAAAUCAACCUUUCUACUCAUCUAAAACAACAUCUGUUAGUGGGAUUAUGCUCUUCUUGGGUUCUCCAGCAUGGGGAAAGUAAUCCCUGAGAAGCCCAGCUGGGACAUUUCCUUCUUGUCUUCAAGCAGUGACUCAGCUCUUCCUUGAUGUCAGGGGGCUCCCACAAAGACUGAUCUUCCCUCCUUCUCCUUCAGAGCCAGGGGUUUCAGGUCUUGGAUCUCCAGCAGAUCUUCAGAUGCUUGAUGAUGGGCUAUUCCCUUCUCCAGCUGGAGCAGGAAGGAAUUUAAAAUUUAGAAUCAUGGAAUCAUUCAGGUUGGGAAAAAUCUUUAAGGUUGUUGAGUCCAGUUGUCAACGCAGCAGCACCCCGAUGUUCACCACUACACCAAGUCCCCAGGUGCCACAUCCACAGGUUUUCUGAGCACUUGCAGGGCUGGUGAAUCCACCACUGCCUUGGGUAGCCCAUUCCAAUGCUUUACACCCUUUCCAUUAAGAAAAAUUCUCUACAAUCCAACCUGAGCCUCCCCUGGCCCAGCCUGAGGCCGUUCCCUCUCCUCCUGUCCCUGUCCCCUGGGAGCAGAGCCUCCCCUGGCUGUCCCCUCCUGUCAGGAGCUGUGCAGAGCCACAAGGUCCCCCCUGAGCCUCCUUUGCUCCAGGCUGAGCCCCUUCCCAGCUCCCUCAGCUGCUCCUGGUGCUCCAGACCCUUCCCAGCUCCAUUCCCAUCCUUGGACUCACUCCAGCCCCUCAAGUUCUCUCCUGCAGCAAGUGCCCCAACACCCACCACAGCAUCCGAGGAGGGGCUGGAAUUUUUUUCCCCUGGAAAAAAUAAACAAAAAACCAAGAAACCAAGUAAAUAAAUCUCUUAUUUUUGCAGAGGCACCUUCCAGCAGAGUCCGGGUGGGAAUGCUGGCGUUUGGUGCCAUCCCUCCCACGGGAGCACUCUGGCUCUCCCGGCAUCACUUUGGUUUGUGCUGCUCUGAAAUCAUUUUCCUUGUUCCUGCAGCUCCUGUAAAGCCAGAAGAGCUCUCUCUAUAUUUGUUUCCAGGAUGCCUUUUUCUCCUCUGCUUACAACUAUAAAAGCAGCUUUUCAUGCUCCAAAUCAGAGAUAAAUGGGAAUUGCUGCUGAAGAAAUAAAACACAAGGCUGAUCAAACUGUGGCAUGGGAGGCAGCCUUCAGCCAGUGCACUUUUGAGAGAUAUUUUUAGACUCAUUUUUAUUUUGUCACUCCAUAUGGGAAGUCAAACCCAUAUGGUUGGGGAGAAUGGAAGGUUGUGCUUUUAUAGUGAUCUCACAAACUAUCCCAGCUCAGCUUUGUCCUUAAACUCCCGCUCAAAUCCAAUUGUCUGAGGUGGGACUGGAGCUUGUACCAGCACAAUUCCCUCUUGAGGUGUAAAACUAUUCUACAUCUGUUCAACCAGCCUCCAGUUAACUCAGCUCUUCUUAGUUACAACUUUUCUCAUUCUUACAUCUUCCUUUUCUCCUUUUUAAUUUCUUCUUUUCUGCUCCCAUGUUCUGAUGCCCUGCUGGACGUGUUUGGUCCAGUUCCAGCCAGGAUGCAAAGCUGAGCAUCCACAGCCAUCACUCUCCUGCUCUUCACAGUGGAUUUUCCUGUCUUCCAAAUAUCCAGGUUUCAUUAAUAAUGAAAAUUUUGAAGAAUAGGACUUCAUUCUGUCCAGAACACAUUGUAAAUUCAGAGUAUGCUGAUUUGAGCAAUAACUGGCUAGAAAAGGUGUUUUCCUUCUGUCACCCUAAAUAUAUAAAAUUAGAAAUGUAUCCUCAGUGUUCAUCCACCAGAAUAUCCACUUUAUUAAGUGUUAAAAGUUUUUCAUGAUACUGAACCAAAACUUAUAUGUCUUUUACGGAUUUUUGUGGCAUGGUUAAAAAUAUUGACAGGAAGUUUCUAACGUGGUAAAUUUCAGAGCAUCAUUUUAUGAGUUUUUCAAUUGUGAUCCUGGAGUUUCUUCCCUUUCCAGUUUCUCAAAAGUUGGAAUUAAACAAACCCAAAGGACAGGAAGAUGCAGCAGGGUGCUUUUAUUGGUAAAAUAGUGAGAAGAGGCUCAGAAAUGUGGGUGAUUGGUUUAGUGGAUAUGGUGGAAUUAGGUCAAGGAUUGGAAUGGACAAUCUUGGAGGUCUUUUCCAAACUUAGUGAUUUUGUGAUUGUGUUGUGUGAAUUACAGAGGCUCAGGGUAGCAAACACCCCGUGGAGCUGCUCUGACUUAGGGAAAAGUCCUUUUCUGUGUUAGUUUUGAUUUCAGAGCUGUAUUUAAUCUCAGUGUAGAAGCAGAGCUAAGGGAAGAGCAGGGCAUUGACACUUAAUGUUUGAUGCCUUUAUUUUUUUUCCUUUAGGAAACAAUUCUUCCCUUUUUCAGGGGAUAAAGUGCAAUGGGAAUAGGACGGCUCAGUGGAGAAUUCCUUGUGGCAGAAGGAUGGGCAGCAUGGAGAUUUCUGAGAUGGUUUGGAUGUCACUUCCAUCAAGUAGAAGGAAUGUUAUGCUAAAACUGUUCAUCAAAACUGAGACCUCACGGAUUAUUUUGUUGGAAAGUCAAGAAAACAACGACUGAUUUUUAACCGGGGGCAGAGAUUUUGUGUUAGAGGAGAAAAUGAGAAAACAACCAGACCCCAAAAGAGGGAAAAAGGGAAAACCUGAGAUUAGAGAAGGGAAAAGGUAUCAAAAGAAAUUUGAUGAAGCCCUAAUUGUAUCCAAAAUCCAUGAUUGUUUUGAAAUCCAAGGAACUACUGUGGCAUUAUCUGUUCAGAGGGGCUCUAUAGUCAGAAAAUCCUUGUCUCUUGUAUCCCACUUUCAAGAGUUCAGUCUAUUCCAUUCUGGAAUCCCAAAAGACAGGGAAAACACCUGGAUUUAUGGUGCUUGGGAAUAUUGGGAUUAGAUGGAAGCAGCUGGGUUUUCCAGGAAUGUUAUUCUGGAAUUUUUGAGUAACACAAGUUCUGGAACAGUGCUGGGGGUGGUGUGGGUACAGGAGCACUGUCAGAUGGUCUUGAAACUGGAAAGAUUCCUUGUCACAUAACUGAUCCCAAAUUUCACUUGGGAUUUUUUACCAAGUUUCCAUUCCCAUUGUAAAUAUAUGGAGAACAUGUUUAGGCACUAUCCUUAAAAAAGUAAAGAAAUUGUUUCUUUAAGAGAUGGGUGAUCUGUAGAAGACAUUUGUGUAAUUUUGCAUUCUAAAUGUGAUUUAUAUUUAUA